rnacentral:rRNA from 1 species
UAGGAAUUUUGCGCAAUGGGGGAAACCCUGACGCAGCAACGCCGCGUGAAGGAUGAAGGCCUUCGGGUUGUAAACUUCUUUCGAUUGGGAAAAAACAAAUGAUGGUACCAAGAGAAGAAGCACCGGCUAACUACGUGCCAGCAGCCGCGGUAAUACGUAGGGUGCAAGCGUUACUCGGAUUUAUUGGGCGUAAAGCGCAUGUAGGUGGCUUUGUAAGUCUGAUGUGAAAGUCCUGGACUCAAUUCAGGAACUGCAUUGGAUACUGCAAGGCUAGAGUAUGGGAGAGGUAGGCGGAAUUCCUGGUGUAGAGGUGAAAUUCGUAGAUAUCAGGAGGAACAACAGAAGCGAAGGCGGCUUACUGGACCAUAACUGACACUGAGAUGCGACAGUGUGGGGAGCAAAC